CGCGUAGGUGGUCCGAUAAGUCGGAGGUGAAAUCCCUCGGCUCAACCGAGGACCCGCGUCCGAUACUGUCGGACUUGAGUGCAGGAGAGGAGAGCGGAAUUCCCAGUGUAGCGGUGAAAUGCGUAGAUAUUGGGAGGAACACCGGUGGCGAAGGCGGCUCUCUGGACUGCUACUGACACUGAGGCGCGAAAGCUAGGGGAGCAAACGG
rnacentral:rRNA from 1 species